rnacentral:rRNA from 1 species
AGUCUGAAUAGGGCGUUUAGUAUUUGGUCGUAGACCCGAAACCAGGUGAUCUACCCUUGGUCAGGUUGAAGUUCAGGUAACACUGAAUGGAGGACCGAACCGACUUACGUUGAAAAGUGAGCGGAUGAACUGAGGGUAGCGGAGAAAUUCCAAUCGAACCUGGAGAUAGCUGGUUCUCUCCGAAAUAGCUUUAGGGCUAGCCUCAAGUGAUGAUUAUUGGAGGUAGAGCACUGUUUGGACGAGGGGCCCCUCUCGGGUUACCGAAUUCAGACAAACUCCGAAUGCCAAUUAAUUUAACUUGGGAGUCAGAACAUGGGUGAUAAGGUCCGUGUUCGAAAGGGAAACAGCCCAGACCACCAGCUAAGGUCCCAAAAUAUAUGUUAAGUGGAAAAGGAUGUGGCGUUGCCCAGACAACUAGGAUGUUGGCUUAGAAGCAGCCAUCAUUUAAAGAGUGCGUAAUAGCUCACUAGUCGAGUGACACUGCGCCGAAAAUGUACCGGGGCUAAACAUAUUACCGAAGCUGUGGAUUGUCCUUUGGACAAUGGUAGGAG